rnacentral:lncRNA from 1 species
CAGCAAGCCGCUCACUUUUCGUGAGGCGUCACAUCCUGCUGCUUCACCCUCUGGUGCACGGGAGGACCAACUAUUUCAGUCGCAAGGAGUCUCAUAUCUUCUACCAGCAUCCAUGCAACCAUGACAGGAUAACUUGAUAGCCUGCUAAUAGGAGACCAUAUGUGUCAUGGUGUCUCCAGUGCUUAUCAUGCCUGGGCCAUAACAAGCUUUU